GAGAACCAAGAGAUCCGUUGUUGAAAGUUUUGAUUUAUUCAAAAUUUUAACUCAGACGACCGGUUAAAUAACAAGAGUUUGGUUUAACUCUGGCGGGCGCUCGCCUGGGACGAAUCCCCAGCGGCUCGAGACCGAGCGGUCCCGCCAAAGCAACAAGGUAGUUUUAACAACAAAGGGUUGGAGGUCGGGCGCUGAGCACCCUUACUCUUUAAUGAUCCUU
rnacentral:misc_RNA from 1 species